CCAACAGCCCCUCUCAGUCCCGUCGAACCAGCGCUUCCCAACCCCUACCAUCCCCGCCGAACUAACGCCUCCCAGUCAGUUUGUUCACAGCUUCACCAAUCGCCACUGUCUCUGCCUCUUGCCUGCCUCUGUUCCGCAGUUGUCACAGAUUUUAAUAUAUGUUUUGAUUUUUUAUUGAUGAAAUUGCUAUGCUUUGAAUUCUGUUAAUGUGAAAUUAGGAUUAGGUUUAGGGUUUGAAUUCUGUAAUUGAUAAAUUUGGAUUGAGUUAUAUUCUUGCUCUGAAAUUGAGGUUAGGGUUUGUGAAAUUGGGACAAUUUAGGGUUUGGUCUCUGUUAAAUGUAAAUUAUUUUUUUUUAUUUUUUUGUUUAUUUAAAUCUUUUUUAAUAAUUAAAAAACCGAACAAACCGAACCGAACCAAACCGAUUUUAAUUGGUUUGGUUUGGUUCGGAUGAUCUCGAUAAAAAAACCGAACCAAACCGAACCGCAGUCUUAAUAAACGAUCGGAUCGGAUGACUUUUUCCUAAUUAACCGAACCGAACCAAACCGCACCGCGAACACCCCUAGCUCCACUACUCUGCCAUACGUCUCAGUCCAGUCCAGGAGUGUCGUCGUCCUUCUCAGUCUAGUCUCGUCCCCUCCGUAGCAGCCGCCGACCCACCGUGUCUCACUGUCCAGCAUCUCCGUCUUGUUUAAUCCCCAGAACCCUUUCAGAUCCCCAGGUUGUGGUUCAAAAGUCAAUAAACAAUGAAAUGAAGCACAGCACAUCUUGAGAUAAGAGCGACGGAAAAGUAACUAAUAAUUUGUUGUUGCUGAGGAAGUGGGCAUCAGAUUUUUGGGGAUAGGCUUUCAGCUAAAGUAGGGAAUCAAUGACAUACUUAAAAUGCCAAAGAAAGCCUUUCCGCCGUUGGAAUUUCCUGAGCUUGGAAGUUGCAACCUUCUGCAGUCAUUUUUGAACAAUGAGCUAAAUUCUGUAGUGGAAUUAGCAGCAGAGAAAGGUUGCUAUGGUGAUAACUUUCUUUAAAGAUUGCACAUCAAUGGUUGGCUUACAAAAUUAGCAAAUCCUCUGUGGCCAUGUAGAAAAACCAGUAGCCAUUUGGUCCUUCAACACCAAGCUCCGAAACUCAUCCUCUGACUUUUGGUGUGCAGUUCUCUCUUCUAGAAAAGAGGUUGAUGAAUUGCCUGUCAAAAUUGGUUGGUUUCCUGAGUACUCAGAUUUGAGAAGAGCUCUUGACCCUUUAUGGGUUUCUUUUUGAAUUUUCAUCCAGUGGUGAACCCAAAAAUUUAGAUUCUGACACUGGAGAACCACCCUCAAAAUAUUCGAGCCUGGCUCAAAUUUGUCACUGCUUGUUGUCUAAUACGGAGUAAACGACCAGCAUUUUCUGUUGUAGAAGCUGAAGAACUCAUUGAAAGCAUUAUAUGUCUAUUCCUAGAUUGCCAGUUUCAAGGUUUAUUAGUGCUUUUGAAUGAUUGCAUGCAAGCCAUUGUCAAUUACUUCACAGACCAGGAACGGCAUUCAAGUUGUGAGAACAUAGCAAAAUUUGUUGCUUCCAGGUUGUUAUUACUUUUGGUGUCAGUAAUAGUAAUUCAGUGAUGCUACAAACUUCUUUGGCAUCACAAAACUUCUUUAUAUAGAUAGAUAACAUCAAACCUUGUGCUACUUCAUGAAUCAAAAUACAUAGUUAUUCAUCACUUGUUCAAUUUUUGAGAGAGGAAUUAAUACAGAGUAGCUCAGCUAGAAAGCCUUGGAGUUGGGGAGGCUUUGAAGGACCAAGGAGUGUGCAGGUGGAACUAUGUUCUCAGAAAUGUUCAACAACAUGUGAAGAGCCAUGUUAGAUGGUUUUCACAGUUUCCUUCUUCUUCCUCUGCUAUGGUCUCCAUUACAGUACUCAAGAGGUCCCAAAAAGCUAAGCAGUCAUUGGAAUCAUUAAGAGAAGUCAUGUACUUAUCUUGUUGGGGUCCUAUCUAAAUGUUAGUAAUGAGAUCCAUUUAGGACAAUAGAGAAACAUUUUCUUCUUUGAUGCUACUAGCUAGGCCAUGAUUCCAUGUAGUCUUGUAUCGGUGGGGUCGUAUAAAGCAAUUAUUUCAUCUUGUAUACAUAACAUCAUCGUAUGGUACAAGAUGAAUACAAGAGUUGUUUGGUUAUAAUGAUUCUUCUUCAAUAUAGAAUGCUUACUUUUUUGUUAAGGUAGAAAACUCCUAUUUUCAUGAUAUGUUGUUGGGAGAUUUCCUUUUAUUA